UACGAAGGGGGCUAGCGUUGUUCGGAAUCACUGGGCGUAAAGCGCACGUAGGCGGAUCUUUAAGUCAGGGGUGAAAUCCCGAGGCUCAACCUCGGAACUGCCUUUGAUACUGGGGAUCUCGAGUCCGGGAGAGGUGAGUGGAACUGCGAGUGUAGAGGUGAAAUUCGUAGAUAUUCGCAAGAACACCAGUGGCGAAGGCGACUUACUGGACACAUAUUGACGCUGAGGUGCGAAAGCGUGGGGAGCAAACAGG
rnacentral:rRNA from 1 species